GGGGAAUUGAUGACCAAGAGAGUAAUUUUAAAAUAUUGAUGAAUGAAGGAAAACAUUUCUUUCUUUGCCUUUUCUCCCCCAGGGCAAAAGGGCAGGUGCUUGAGCACCACUAGGGGUCCAUCAUGAACACGUGCAUUUAGGAGACAUCUCCACAUGGUCCUCAACAGAGCUCAGGAUCUCAGCCUGCUGAACUAAGCCACCUGCUGCUACAAAGUGGUACCUACACGGACCAAGAGAUGAUACCAGUUGUCAUAUCCUCUAUGCGAAUGGUGGCGCAUGGAGUAGAGAGUGUGCGCUUAACCCUCGCUGCCGGGAACCGCCGGGUGGCGGUUUGAGCCCUGGAUUCUCCAUGUCCCAUGUUGAAGUGUCCCUGAGCAAGACCCCCUAAUUGCACCCUGGGGAAAAAUGUAUUUUGGAUUUGAAGCUUUGGAUGCUGUAACUCAUUUUUAAGCGGUUGGUCCAUCCAUCCAUCUAUCCUGCACACAGGGUCGCGGGGGGGCUGGAGUCCAUCCCAGCCAACUUCGGGCAAGAGACAGGUUUCACCCUGGACUGGUCGCCAGCCAAUCACAGGUCUACACAGAGACAAACAACCAUUCACACUCACACACCCACGGGCAAUUUAGAGUCACCAAUCAACCUGAUCCCCAGAGCAUGUAUUUGGACUGUGGGAGGAACCCAGAGAACCCAGACAGAACCACGCAGACACGGGGAGAACAUGCAGACUCCACACAGAAAGGCCACUGGGCGGAGUGGAACCCAGGACCUUCUUGCUGCGAGGCGACGGUGCUAACCACCACACCACUGUGCCGCCCUAAAGCGGUUGGUGUUAUUGUCU
ensembl:lncRNA